rnacentral:pre_miRNA from 1 species
ACACAAAUUACCUGGAGAGCUUGUUAAAAUUUAAGUUCUGACUUAGUGAGGACUUGGGUGGGGUCUAAGAUUCUGCAUUUGCAGCAAGCUCCCAGAUACUGUUUCA